UACGAGACGCUAAGGCGUUGAAGUAGUGUAUGUCAUACUUCCAAGAAAAGCUUGCACUGUCAUAGAUAAAAAACGCCUGUACCAUAACCGACACAGGUGGGUAGGUAGAGUAUACUAAGGGGCGCGAGAUAACUCUCUCUAAGGAACUCGGCAAAAUAACUCCGUAACUUCGGGAGAAGGAGUGCCUUAUUUAUAAGGCUGCAAUAACAAGAUCCAAGCAACUGUUUAUCAAAAACACAGGUCUCCGCUAAGUCGUAAGACGAUGUAUGGGGGCUGACGCCUGCCCAGUGCCAGAAGGUUAAAGAAGUUGGUUAGCAAUAGCGAAGCUGAUAACUGAAGCCCUGGUGAACGGCGGCCGUAACGAUAACGGUCCUAAGGUAGCGAAAUUCCUUGUCGGGUAAGUUCCGACCCGCACGAAAGGCGUAAUGAUUUGGAUACUGUCUCGGAGAGGGGCUCGGUGAAAUAGACUUGUCUGUGAAGAUGCGGACUACCUGCACCAGGACAGAAAGACCCUAUGAAGCUUUACUGUAACUUGAAAUUGAAAUUGGACUUUAUUCGCGCAGUAUAGGUGGGAGGCGUUGAUUGUAAUCUUGCGGGAUUAUUGGAGCCAUCAGUGAGAUACCACCCUUGUAAUGUUAGAUUUCUAACUUUGAAUCAUUAUCUGGUCAAAGAACAGUUUCAGGCGGGCAGUUUGACUGGGGCGGUCGCCUCCUAAACGGUAACGGAGGCGUACAAAGGUUUCCUCUGAACGGUUAGAAAUCGUAUCUAGAGUGUAAAGGCAUAAGGAAGCUUGACUGUGAGACCUACAAGUCGAGCAGGGACGAAAGUCGGUCUUAGUGAUCUGACGGUACUGAGUGGAAAGGCCGUCACUCAACGGAUAAAAGUUACUCUAAGGAUAACAGGCUGAUCUCCCCCAAGAGUUCACAUCGACGGGGAGGUUUGGCACCUCGAUGUCGGCUCAUCGCAUCCUGGGGCGGUAGUACGUCCCAAGGGUUGGGCUGUUCGCCCAUGAAAGCGGUACGCGAGCUGGGUUCAGAACGUCGUGAGACAGUUCGGUCCAUAUCCGGUGUAGGCGUUAGAAUAUUGAGAGGAGCCUUCUUUAGUACGAGAGGACCGAGAAGGACAUACCUCUGGUGUACCAGUUAUCGUGCCAACGGUAAACGCUGGGUAGCUAUGUAUGGAGUGGAUAACCGCUGAAAGCAUCUAAGUGGGAGGCCCACCUCAAGAUAAGUAUUCUC
rnacentral:rRNA from 1 species